AACCUUACCAGGUCUUGACAUACUCGUGCUAUUCCUAGAGAUAGGAAGUUCCUUCGGGACACGGGAUACAGGUGGUGCAUGGUUGUCGUCAGCUCGUGUCGUGAGAUGUUGGGUUAAGUCCGCAACGAGCGCAACCCCUAUUGUUAGUUGCCAUCAUUAAGUUGGGCACUCUAACGAGACUGCCGGUGAUAAACCGGAGGAAGGUGGGGAUGACGUCAAAUCAUCAUGCCCCUUAUGACCUGGGCUACACACGUGCUACAAUGGAUGGUACAACGAGUCGCGAGACAGUGAUGUUUAGCUAAUCUCUUAAAACCAUUCUCAGUUCGGAUUGUAGGCUGCAACUCGCCUACAUGAAGUCGGAAUCGCUAGUAAUCGCGGAUCAGCACGCCGCGGUGAAUACGUUCCCGGGCCUUGUACACACCGCCCGUCACACCACGGGAGUUGGGAGUACCCGAAGUAGGUUGCCUAACCGCAAGGAGGGCGCUUCCUAAGGUAAGACCGAUGACUGGGGUGAAGUCGUAACAAGGUAGGCGUAGCGAG
rnacentral:rRNA from 1 species